AUUGAACGCUGGCGGCGUGCUUUACACAUGCAAGUCGAACGGUAACAGGCCUUCGGGUGCUGACGAGUGGCGAACGGGUGAGUAAUGCAUCGGAACGUACCUAUGAGUGGGGGAUAACGCUUCGAACGGAGUGCUAAUACCGCAUAUUCUCUGAGGAGGAAAUCGGGGGACCUUUUGGCCUCGCGCUUAUAGAGAGGCCGAUGUCUGAUUAGCUAGUUGGUGAGGUAAAGGCUCACCAAGGCGACGAUCAGUAGGGGGUCUGAGAGGAUGAUCCGCCACACUGGAACUGAGACACGGUCCAGACUCCUACGGGAGGCAGCAGUGGGGAAUUUUGGACAAUGGGCGAAAGCCUGAUCCAGCAAUGCCGCGUGCAGGAAGAAGGCCUUCGGGUUGUAAACUGCUUUUGUACGGAGCGAAAAGGUCCUUUCUAAUACAAGGGGCUCAUGACGGUACCGUAAGGAUAAGCACCGGCUAACUACGUGCCAGCAGCCGCCGUAAAAC
rnacentral:rRNA from 1 species